GGAGAGGUGGCUGAGUGGUCGAAAGCAGCGGUUUGCUAAACCGUCAGGGGGCCUUAAAGCUCCCUCCGGGGUUCGAAUCCCCGCCUCUCCGCCA
rnacentral:tRNA from 1 species